UACGGAGGGUGCGAGCGUUGUCCGGAAUCACUGGGCGUAAAGGGCGCGUAGGCGGCAGGCCAAGCGUGCGGUGAAAGUCCGGGGCUCAACCUGGGAACUGCAGUCGAAACUGCAAAGCUUGAAUGUUGGAGAGGUUGGGGGAAUACCUAGUGGAGAAGUGAAAUUCGUAGAGAUUAGGUGGAACACCAGAGGCGAAGGCGCCUGACUGGCCAAACAUUGACGCUGAGGCGCGAAAGCGUGGGUAGCAAACAGG
rnacentral:rRNA from 1 species